AAAUGAAUAGACGGGUCCCCGCACAAGCAGCGGAGCAUGUGGUUUAAUUCGUCGCUACGCGAAGAACCUUACCAAGGUUUGACAUUAUAGUGCAUAGCAUGGAAACAUGUGAAAUUGCAGUUUACUGCAACACUAUAACAGAUGGUGCAUGGUUGUCGUCAGCUCGUGUCGUGAGAUGUUUGGUUAAGUCCAGCAACGAGCGCAACCCCUGUCUUUAGUUGCCAGCAUUAAGUUGGGCACUCUAGAGAGACUGCCAUAGACAAUAUGGAGGAAGGUGGGGAUGACGUCAAAUCAUCAUGCCUCUUACACCUUGGGCUACACACGUGCUACAAUGGGUGAUACAAAGAGAAGCAAUAUAGUAAUAUGGAGCAAAACUCACAAAAUCACUCUCAAUUCGGAUUGUGGGCUGCAACUCGCCCACAUGAAGACGGAGUUGCUAGUAAUCGUGGAUCAGCACGCCACGGUGAAUGCGUUCCCGGGGAUUGUACACACCGCCCGU
rnacentral:rRNA from 1 species